rnacentral:rRNA from 1 species
GACGAACGCUGGCGGCGUGCCUAAUACAUGCAAGUAGAACGCUGAAGGAGGAGCUUGCUUCUCUGGAUGAGUUGCGAACGGGUGAGUAACGCGUAGGUAACCUGCCUGGUAGCGGGGGAUAACUAUUGGAAACGAUAGCUAAUACCGCAUAACAGUAGAUAUCGCAUGAUAUCUACUUGAAAGGUGCAAUUGCAUCACUACCAGAUGGACCUGCGUUGUAUUAGCUAGUUGGUGAGGUAACGGCUCACCAAGGCGACGAUACAUAGCCGACCUGAGAGGGUGAUCGGCCACACUGGGACUGAGACACGGCCCAGACUCCUACGGGAGGCAGCAGUAGGGAAUCUUCGGCAAUGGACGGAAGUCUGACCGAGCAACGCCGCGUGAGUGAAGAAGGUUUUCGGAUCGUAAAGCUCUGUUGUAAGAGAAGAACGAGUGUGAGAGUGGAAAGUUCACACUGUGACGGUAGCUUACCAGAAAGGGACGGCUAACUACGUG